AGGAAGCGGCGCGCGCAGCGGGUGGCGGGAGCCCGGACCCCGGGCGCAGGUGCACUCCUGCCACUGAGGGGGCACGCAAGGUCAAAGGCGUGGCCCUUUGAGCCCCGCACCCAAAGAUUGCCUAGACUCCAAAGAGCCUUGGAGGCUAGGUCUUGACGGAAACAUCUAAGCACUGAGCAAUUUGACCUUGGGGCGGCAGGUUUAAAAGGCCUUGGUUGCUCUUGAACUGAGGUGCAGAGGCAGAAUCCAAGAAAGAGCUUGGUCCUUGCCAAGGAUGCAGUGCCUCAGUUCUGAUCCAGUUCACUGUCAGGGAAAGCCGUGCUGGCUAAAAAAAUAAAAUAAAAUCUAGAGUCCCGGCGACAGUGCAGAUCCUCAACAUCUGAGAGACUUAGCAUCAGAGGCAAUACAAAGGGAAAGACACCUUCCCUCCGGAGGUGAAAGCUGUGAGAAGGUAUGGAGGAUUGGGAGUGGUUGAUGGAGCACCUGAUGGGAGGGAGGGUCCCAGACAGGCGGCCCAGCUUGGAAGUGAAAGUUAGAGGGACAAACGAGGUACAGGAAGUGGGAAGAUGGCUCUUGGGACCCACGAUCAGGCCUAAGCGAACGGUUCAGAGCUCCGGAGAAGGCAGGGAGAUGAGCUGUGGGGCGGAAAGAUUUGCACACCUUGGGUCCCGGGACUGUCCUGCUCAGCUGAGUGGAAUACCAAACGAGGGUGUCUCGAAGCUGAGCUUCACCUCAGCCAGGCAAUCGACAGGAGAAGCAGCGAGCGAGACCGACAGACUGUCACUGGCAAAAUGAACUGUCACCUCCCAUUUUUCAGAGGCACGGCGGGAUGAAUUGCAGCCUUGAACCGUGCGGCCCGCUGCUGAUUGAGUUCCGCUGUCUUAAAACCCCGUCGAACAAGGCGAGUUCAUUUCAGACUGACGUCUCACCGCUUAUCAAUUUAGGAGCUAGUAAAAUUAACCGCUUCGGAGCUGAUUUUCGCCCUCCCCCUGGUUCAGAUUCCACAUCCGGAAAGGUCACGAAAAUAAAUCUCUCUGGGUCCCACUAACAUAAUACGCAGUCUAGAAAUGAGGUCUCACAAGGCUGAAGCCAAACAUAACCCAGGUCCCAAAGCUUUCAGGGGGCCCUUUGGAGGCACCAGCCCAUGGCAAUAGUGUGACAUGCCAGGCGUUUGUUAACCCUUCGCCUGCAUACACCAGCAGCUACUGCCCCCAGGAGCUAGCAUCGGGAAGGGUUGGGUAGCUAAGGAUGAAGCUGCCUCCCAAGUCCCCCAUGCCUUUCUGCAGAGAAGUGUGUAUUCCUUAGCUUCCUGUCCUCAGGUUCCUCCACACACAUAGAAGUGGACACCCAACAAAUGAUUAUAAAGCCAAAUAAGAUGUGAUGUUUGCUAAAGCAUCGGUGAUUAUUUUGAAAAGUUUAAACGUAUGUGCAGAGACAAGGCUUUGGUUUGAGGAAAGGGAGAAGGAUUGUGAUCCAGGAAAAUAUUGCUUGUCACCAGCCACUCCCCCAACACAUCCCGUACCGGAAAUGGCUCCUGAGGGCAGAGAUGAACACACACCAGAACUGCAUCUCUGUCUCCAGACGCAAAAAGUGCCUUCUGCUUCGACUCUUCACCAUGGCUUAACUGCUCUGGAAGGCCCACAUCUGCGUCAUGGAUACAAACAGUUGUCUCAGCGUCCUUUGACACCUCUCUUCCCUAAGGCAAACGAAGGCAGUGUUUAUUUCCAGCGAUAGCAUCAAACCAUUUCAGUACGGUUUGUUUUCAGCCUUGCUUAAGCUCCUGGGUCCUCUCUACCUCCAUCUGGAAGUGUCUGCCUUUUUAUUAACAAGAGUAUCUCAUCUCAGAAGAGGGGACACAGGUUUUCCCUUGGAAGCAGUGUGAGAAAGAAGGACCUGUGGACAUGCAACUGGCUUCAGACAGGAAACUGGUACUGUCUCCAGCAAACAUCAGGGCAAAGGGUAAAUGGUUUAGCUCAGCCACAGUCUAGCCCAGAGUAGCCAUCUCUGCUGGAGUUUUGUUCUCAGCCUUUUUCUAAGAGGUUUGCUUCUGUG